rnacentral:tRNA from 1 species
GAAAUGUGUUGAUCCUAUAUAAGCUGCUAACUUAAUAUAUUAGCGGUUAAAUUCCGUUUACAUUUCU